ensembl:misc_RNA 7SK 7SK RNA
AAAGGUUAUGGGUGAUGUGAGCGUGCUCGAGUGAGACAUCUGUCACCCCACUGAUUACUAGUGACUGGCUUCUUCCUCUCUUACCCCUUCAUGUUCAUGCUAUCCAAAGCUGCAAGCUUAGUUGAAGAGGAGGGAUCUUUUUAGAUAGAGCAGGACUCUUUUGGGGCCCAGGGUAUACCAGGAGAUGCAUUCCCCAGCUAGAAACUCCAAACUAGCUCUCAAAGUCCAAAAGCUUCUGGGAAUUCAAUUCAGGCAGCGAACAGUGUGGGAUGAAUCCCUACUC